UACAGAGGGGGCAAGCGUUGUUCGGAAUUACUGGGCGUAAAGGGCGCGUAGGCGGCCUUCUAAGUCAGACGUGAAAUCCCCCGGCUUAACCUGGGAACUGCGUCUGAUACUGGAUGGCUUGAAUCCGGGAGAGGGAUGCAGAAUUCCAGGUGUAGCGGUGAAAUGCGUAGAUAUCUGGAGGAAUACCGGUGGCGAAGGCGGCAUCCUGGACCGGCAUUGACGCUGAGGAGCGAAAGCCAGGGGAGCAAACGGG
rnacentral:rRNA from 1 species